ACAAUAUAAAGACCCACGUAAAACAAAGUCUAAAUAUUCCAAAGGAAAGAAAGAUACUUUUCCUAAAAUGUUUUUACAAGAUCACUCUUUCAAACAAAGGUGAAAAAGAAAAAUACCAGUUUGCUAUAACUGUGGGAAGGUAGGUCAUUAUAAAAAUAAAUGCAGAAUAAAAAAGAAAAUUAAUGCUCUUGAAGUUGACCUCGAAAUUAAAAAACAAUUAUUUAAAAUUCUGUUAAUAAAAGGAGAUGACUCAAAAGAAUCUACUAACUUCGAUAGUGAAAUGCUCAUUGGAGAAAUAAGUGAUGAAGAAAUAAUUUUCACAAGUUCAGACUCUGAUUCAGACUCUGAUAAUGUGCCUGAUGACAACUGCCACUGUAAUUUCUUGAAGGCCACUAUGGAUUUGAAUGCUUUAAACUUAAAUACUCUAACAAAAUAAGAAAAUUUAAUUAUAGAAUUAAUUGACAAGAUAAGUGACCCAGAGGAGGAAGCCUUAAUACAUAUCUACAAAAGAAAAAUUUCUCUUUCAUUUAAAAGAAGAAGUCAGACAUAAGGUCAUUGAUGAAAAGCUAACAUUACCCCAAAUACAAAAUAAAAUCAGCAAUUUUAAAAUAAUGCUUGAAAAAGAAAUAUGUUUUGAUAUUCCUAAAGCUUUUUGGAGUAGGAAGCAACAUAUUGUUGAACUUCCUUUUGAACUAGGAUUCAAUGGAUAAAAAAUUCCUACAAAAGCAAGACCAAUACAAAUGAAUAGUAGACUUCUAGAAAUCUGCAAAAUUGAGAUACAAGAAUUGCUUGAUAAAAAACUUAUUAGAAAAAGUUUCUCACCCUGGAGUUGUGCAACCUUUUAUGUAGAAAAAGCUUUAGAGAUUGAAAGAGGAGCCUCUUGGCUAGUUAUAAAUUACAAACCUUGAAAUAAAACUCUGAGAUGGAUUCGAUAUCCUAUCCCAAACAAAAAGGAUCUUCUAGAUAGCUUGGUUAAUGCUUCUAUAUUCUCAAAAUUUGAUUUAAAAUUAGGAUAUUGGCAAAUUCAAAUGACAGAAAAAGACUGGUAUAAAACUGCUUUCAAUGUUCCUUUUGGGCAUUUUGAAUGGAAUGUUAUGCCUUUUGCUUUAAAAAAUGUCCCUUUGGAAUUUCAAAACAUCAUGAGCGAUAUUUUGAAUCCCUACACCAAAUUUAUCAUUGUGUACAUUGAUGAAUUUCUUGUUUAUUCUGAAACUAUCGACCAACGUUGGAAACAUUUAAAUAUUUUUUUUAAAGCUAUAAAAACUGCUAGAUCAGUUGUUUCAACUAAAAAGAUAAACCUUUUUAAAACCAAAAUAAGGUUCCUAGUACAUAAUAUUUUCCUAGGGAGAAUUAUCCCUAUUGAUAGGGCAAUUCAGUUUGAUAUCAUCAAAGAUAAAAUUGAACUACAAAGGUUUCUCGGUUGUCUAAAUUAUAUUUCCAGUUUCUAUAAAUAUCUGGCUUUAGAUGGAAAACCUUUAUUUCAAAGAUUAAAAAAGAAUCCUCCUAAUUUGAGUAAUUAACAUACAAUCGUUGUUAAAAAAUUAAAAUUGAAGGCUAAAGAAUUUCCUUGUUUAGCACUAUCUGACCCCACAGCUUUUAAUAUUGUUGAAACUGACGCCUCUGAGCUAGGGUUAUGAAGAAUACUUAAACAAAAUUCCCAAAAGACGAGCAAUUGGUAUGUUUUACUUCUAAAGCUUGGAACCCUGCUCAACAAAAAUAUUCUAUUGUUAAAAAAGAAAUCUUAGCCAUAAUCCAUUGUGUCACAAACUUUCAAAGUGAUUUACUCAACAAAAAUUUCUUAUUUGAACUGAUUGUAAAUCAGCCAAAGAUAUUCUUGAAAAAGAUAUAAAAAGUCUUGUUGCAAAAUAAAUAUUUGCCCGUUGGCAAGGCAUUCUUUCCGCAUUUGAUUUUGAUAUUAAACAUAUUAAUGGCCAACAUAACCAUCUUCUUGACUUUUUGACUCGAGAAUUUUCACAGGGAGGGAAGGAGAAGUCAACAUCAGCCAAUGGAUAUAAUUCUUAGCUAAGGCAAAGCUUUGGCCCAAUAUAACAGUCCGGGAAAAACCACCUUGGCCCCAUAUAGUUCUAGCCCGGGAAAAAGCCCGGCAUCUUCAUCUACUCCAAAAGCUUUAAUAAGAAAGCAGGCUCAAGAGAUUGAUAUAUUUCCCCAACAAUCCCCUUUGAGCACAAAAAGUCAAAAUACAGAUAGAACUACGUUUUCUUGAGACAUCUUAUAUAACGCUGAUUAUUAUUGAAAAUGAUCACAGGGAAAAAGACCCUGUUGAAAUAGCAGCUAUAUAUUUAUGCAAUCAUCUGCGUCCUAAUAUGGGGGAUAAAUGCAGAGAAUGGUAUGAGACCAUACUUAUGGAAAUUGGGUCGGUAUCAAUAGUACACCAUUAUAGAAAUAAUGACUUGGAAAUAGCAUAUUCCAAGUUCCAAAUUCAUAAAAUCAUCUCUUAUAGAGAUUGGGGUUUGAAUCCUUUAAAACCAAGGAUAAUAAAUACUAAAAUAUUUAAAAAUAAAUCCGACCAUUACUUUGAAUACAUCAAGGCAUGGGAUGAGGUUUUUGCCUACCAAAAUACUAAGGCUACACAUAGUUGGUAUGUACAGUUUAAAAGAACUGAAUCAAUAGAGUUUCCCAACUGGUUUAAAAGCUGGUUCCUGUUAUGGGGAUCAUGUAGCCAGAUACUUCUCCAAAAGUUACAAAUUUCACAGAGAAAAUUCUCUGAUUGUAAUGCAAGUAGUCUAAAAAGGGACUAUCAUUUAUAUUUUAUGGCUUUAUAUCAGGUCCCUUGGAUAUUAAUAUGGACAUACCAACUCUCUGAGGAUGGUAUGGACCGAUGGGAUUAUAUCCUAGAGUUACGUCGAAAGAUAUCAAUUAAAUGGUGCGAUAGUUACAAAAAUGAUUCUCUGGACCCUGACAAAAUUUACAUGAAAACAAUACCAUCCUCGUCACCAACUUCUGAUAUGGGUGUUUUCCGAAUAUAUUACAUUAUGCAACAUUAAAACCGUACACUAUCAAAAGCUGAGCUCAGAAAGUAGCUACUGUUGGCCCUAGAUUAAGACGAAGAAAUAGAAGACUAUAGUCUGUUAAAUGUUGAUGACUGUGUAUGGAUUACUUUCUCCCCACUAAUUGAGGGUAAAAGCAAGGGACGGUACGACUCCAAAAACCCACUCAGGACACAUGUCCCAAAAUCAAACUACCAUCGACAAAAGAAGCACUAUUGGCACCAAGCAAUCAAUCAUCUACAGUAAAAAGGAGCAUUAUCGCCACCAAUCACUGUAGAGGAAUCUUGUUUUUGUCAGAACUUUAACUUUUGCUUUAUUGAAAGGGCAUCUUACUUUCAGUGCAGAUUUUGUUAUCCUUUGAAGUCCGAUCUCCCCUCCUCUAUAUAAGGAGGUGAGACCCAAAGGGAAAGGCAUUUGGAGAUGAAUCUUGGGAGUUUUCUGUCUUAGUUUUCUGCCUUUAGUUUUGGAUGUUUAAUUCUGAGUGUUUGGUUUUGAGUGAUUUGUUCUAAGUGUGAGCUACUUGUCUUCUGUUUCGAGUCUUCUGAAGAAGAGGAACCACACUAGUAGUAUACUGUCUCUUCGAGUCUAUGGUUUAAUGGCAUCGGCGGUAUCGGGAAAAAAAAAUUAUCGCACGACCCCUCUCCUCUGUUCUUCGAGUUCAACCGCUGAGGCAGCCCUCUGUUCGCAGCACGCCACUAUCUCAGCCAGACCCUCUCUUCGCAUGCAGCCCUCGCUAGGGUUUACUCAGCUGUCCUUGAGCUCUGAUCCUUGCUAUUGAUCUUGAGGAUUGACCCAUACACAUCAUCAAGCGCAGUGAAUGAGAAUAUGGGAGGCAAGAGAAACUUCCAAUGGACACAGUCCGAAGAUGAUUACUUUAUUGAACUAAUGGAGAAGGAGACUAGGGCAACUGGGCAGGGGGGGUUUAGAAAAGGUGCCUGGAAACGUAUGGUAGACGCCAUGACAAUUAAAUAUGGGUCAAGAAACAACGAAACUAAGCUGAAAAGCAAACAUAAGUUCCUUAGGAAUAUGUUCAAUGAUAUCACAAAACUUAAAAAUGUUUCCGGUUUCGGAUGGGAUGAUAGUAACUGCCGAGGUUGCUGUUUGGAAUGACUUCCGAGCGGAGAAUGAAUGGGCAAGCAAAUACCAAAACAAGACUUUGCUCGAGCAUUCGCUGCUAAGCAAAAUGUACGAGGGUGGAACGGCAUAUGGGAUGUACAAAUCUAUUGAGCGUGGCAUCAAAAUUGAGUCAGAAAGGCCCAAUAUUGCAUUAUCUGAUGACCCCCCAUUAGAAGUCCAGAAUGAAUCUAGCUCAUCCUCAUCUGAUGAGUUAGUAUCAUCUGGAUAAAAAAGACGACGGUCCCAUACUCCGAUAAGAGCACAUCGCCGAUCAAAGCAACCCACCCCCAUUGAGUCCAUGUCUUUAGCCAUGAUAGAGAUGGCCCAAAGCAUUAAGAUGCUGACAUGUGACACCGUAGGUAACAACAAUACUCCUGUGGUGGAUGGUCUGUUCAAGGUUAGUAGAGAUGCCUGUAAAAUUGUUGAAGGCAUGUGGAAAGCAGGCGAUGGUGAUGCUGUCCUUUUGACGGCGGCGAGGAUCUUCUAAGAUUCUACAAAGGUGGUGAUGUUAUUAAACUUGGAGGAUCCAAGGAUACAAAAGGCUUUCUUAGAUGAAGAGAUGAAACACCUCCAAUAGAGUUCGGAUUGACUAUGUUUAAUUUUAACAUCAAAGACUGCUUCUUUCAUUUGUAUGUGAAUGGCUUAUGUCAUUUUAAUGUCAAAUAUUGCUUCAUGGUUUGCUUUAUAGAUGAUGACUUCUUUCAUUUGUAU